rnacentral:lncRNA from 1 species
AAGAACUUUCAUUUGUUUAUGUUUUAUAUCUUCUGAAAACAUAAGAAAAAAAAUGCUGGCUUUGAACAGAAAUGUUAUAGUUUUUGCAUUGAUAUUGUUGGUGAUACUAAGUGUUUCGCCUUUGAGUGCAGGAAAAGGUUUAUUCUUUAGUCCUGCAGAAUGUGUGAAGAGAAUCCAAAAUGUGGAGGGAUGCGCUGAUGCCAUAACUGCCAUAUUACGUUGGGAUUUUAGCCACCUUAAGCACGGUUGCUGUGACGUUCUGGAAGGUUUAACCGAAGAUUGCUGGCCAAUAGUGUUCCCCCACCAGCCUCUUGUUCACACGAUGAUCAAAGGAAUAUGUUUCUUCCCAUAGAAACGACUGUUUCUUCUAUAAUUAAUCAACUGCUAUGAUGAUACGUAUGAGUAAGUAAACCAAAAAAAAAAUGCCUUGUAAUAGGUUUUAUCUUAUUAUUCUUAUUUUGGAUGAUAUUAUAUAAUGAGAAGCUAUCUAAUUAAUAUGUUCCUUUUUUUCUUCUCUUUGAAAUGUUUCCUUCUAUCUAAGUCAAUACGCA